rnacentral:rRNA from 1 species
AGAGUUUGAUCCUGGCUCAGAAUAAACGCUGGCGGCGUGCCUGACACAUGCAAGUCGAGCGUGAAAGGUCUUCGGACUAAGUAAAGCGGCAAACGGGUGAGUAACGCGUGAGAAUCUACCUUUCAGUGAGGAAUACCUUCGAGAAAUUGAAGUUAAUACUGCAUACGUCCUAAUAGGAGAAAGAUGGCCUCUUUGCUGUCGCUGAAAGAUGAGCUUGCGUACGAUUAGCUAGUUGGUAGGGUAAAGGCCUACCAAGGCGAAGAUCGUUAGCCGGCCUGAGAGGGUGUACGGCCACACUGGAACUUAGACACGGUCCAGACUCCUACGGGAGGCAGCAGUGAGGAAUCUUGCGCAAUGGGCGAAAGCCUGACGCAGCGACGCCGCGUGGAGGAUGAAGGUCUUAGGAUUGUAAACUUCUGUUAAGUGGGAAGAAAUGUUUCGUUAUAAUACAGCGAGAAAAUGACGGUACCAUUAGAGAAAGCACCGGCUAACUUCGUGCCAGCAGCCGCGGUAAUACGAAGGGUGCGAGCGUUAUUCGGAUUGAUUGGGCGUAAAGGGUGCGCAGGCGGAAUACUAAGUCAACUGUUAAAUUUCCCGGCCUAACCGGGAGUCAGCAGUAGAUACUGGUGUUCUUGAGGAUGGAAGAGAGAAGUGGAAUUCUCGGAGUAGCGGUAAAAUGCGUAGAUCUCGAGAGGAACACCAAUGGCGAAGGCAGCUUCUUGGUCCAUUUCUGACGCUCAUGCACGAAAGCGUGGGGAGCAAACAGGAUUAGAUACCCUGGUAGUCC